GGGUGGUAAUGCCGGAUGUUCCAGUUGAUCGCAUGGUCUUCUGGGAAAGCUUUCGCGGUAUGGGAUGGGGUCGCGUCCUAUCAGCUUGACGGCGGGGUAACGGCCCACCGUGGCUUCGACGGGUAGCCGGCCUGAGAGGGCGACCGGCCACAUUGGGACUGAGAUACGGCCCAGACUCCUACGGGAGGCAGCAGUGGGGAAUAUUGCACAAUGGGCGCAAGCCUGAUGCAGCGACGCCGCGUGAGGGAUGGAGGCCUUCGGGUUGUAAACCUCUUUUAUCGGGGAGCAAGCGUGAGUGAGUUUACCCGUUGAAUAAGCACCGGCUAACUACGUGCCAGCAGCCGCGGUAAUACGUAGGGUGCAAGCGUUAUCCGGAAUUAUUGGGCGUAAAGGGCUCGUAGGCGGUUCGUCGCGUCCGGUGUGAAAGUCCAUCGCUUAACGGUGGAUCCGCGCCGGGUACGGGCGGGCUUGAGUGCGGUAGGGGAGACUGGAAUUCCCGGUGUAACGGUGGAAUGUGUAGAUAUCGGAAAGAACA
rnacentral:rRNA from 1 species